AUUGAACGCUGGCGGCAGGCCUAACACAUGCAAGUCGAGCGGGGUUUUCGGACCUAGCGGCGGACGGGUGAGUAAUGCGUAGGAAGCUGCCCGAUAGAGGGGGAUACCAGUUGGAAACGACUGUUAAUACCGCAUAAUGUCUACGGACCAAAGUGUGGGACCUUCGGGCCACAUGCUAUCGGAUGCGCCUACGUGGGAUUAGCUAGUUGGUGAGGUAAUGGCGCACCAAGGCGACGAUCUCUAGCUGGUUUGAGAGGAUGAUCAGCCACACUGGAGCUGAGACACGGUCCAGACUCCUACGGGAGGCAGCAGUGGGGAAUAUUGGACAAUGUGCGCAAGCCUGAUCCGGCCAUGCCGCGUGUGUGAAGAAGGCCUUCGGGUUGUAAAGCACUUUCAGCGAGGAGGAAGGGUGGUGUGUUAAUAGCACAUCAUUUUGACGUUACUCGCAGAAGAAGCACCGGCUAACUCUGUGCCAGCCGCCGCAGUAACAC
rnacentral:rRNA from 1 species